rfam:Erinaceus europaeus unplaced genomic scaffold scaffold00370, whole genome shotgun sequence
GUCAUUUCUCACUUCAGCAGGACAUGUACUAAAAUUGGGAUGAUGCAGAGAUUAUCAUGGUCCCUAUGCAGGAAUGACAUGCACAUUUGUGAAGCAGUCUGUAUUUAA